rnacentral:miRNA from 1 species
GGUCCCCAGAUGUUGUUGGACUGCAACUCCCAUCACCCCCAGCUAGCAAGGCCAGAGCUCAGGGAUGAUGGGAGUUGUAGUCCAACAACAUCUGGGGAACCAC